CAGACAGACAGACAGACAGACAGACAGACAGACAGACAGACAGACAGACAGACAGACAGACAGACAGACAGACAGACAGACAGACAGAUAGAUAGAUAGAUAGAUAGACAGAUAGAUAGACAGAUAGAUAGACAGAUAGUGCAGAUGGAGAGAGAGUGCAGAGAGAGAGAGCAGACAGCGAGGGAUUGAAGAGGAAUAGAAAAAGAGAGAGAGUGAGGAAGGGAGAAGAAGCGAGUAGUUAGGGACAGCUGCAGUUAGACGUUUUGUGCAUAGGUUGGAGCAUUUCAAGGGGUUGUAAAAACUGUAGUUACCCUGUGGUUAGACCAUUAGAGGUAUACAUGCUGCUCUAACAACCUCACUCUCCCUUCAAGUGUAUGUUUCUGCGUUUCCUGUCAAAUUCUAAAGAUGGCCGCCAAGGCUAAAAACAUUAUUUUAGCUGUAUCUUCCCUCCGCCCCGAUCUUUCAUCAAGAGGAGUAUAUUGUGUUGUUCUAUGAAGUUGUCACUACUUGUCUUUCAUACACCUUUAUCCAAAUGAAACUUCAGGAAUACCCUAAAUGCACCCAACAGACGAUGGAGAAUUUUCACUGUGUUUGUACAUCUCCAAAUUGUUCCAUUGUACCAAGCUGUACUUUUACCCCAAGUCCUUCAAAACAGCGCCGUCACCCUACUCACCCUGUACAGCUGUGUGACAGUGACCGCUCUCAAUGCAACCUUUAGGUCCAGAGAUGGAGGGCCAUUAGAGAAACCAACCUUAAUUAAAACGAUAGGGCCAUAAACGGAAGUCCGUGUGUGUGCAGCUCGGCGACUGGGCCCUCGUCCACUGCUGUAAGACAAGUUGGCCCUUUCAACCUGGUCUCAGGGGUAGACGUAACAUGCUAAAUGUAAAUCCAGAACACUCUAGUUAGCAUGAUGUUUCAUAUGGUAAAUAUUAAUUUGUGGAUGUUCAUCAUCUUUUACGUUUGAUAUGUUAUGAAUUGCAAUUAGUUGUUGCUAAUGUUCGCUAGAUGGCUAACAAUAAUGUCCGCUAGGUGGCUAACAAUAAAGUUAGUUAGGCGGCUAAUAUUAAUGUUAGCUAGGUGGCUAACAAUAAAGUUAGCUAGGUGACUAACAAUAACGUUAUUUAGGCUAGGGGUUAGGAUUUAAGGUUAGAGUGAGUAGUUGUUUUGAAGGGGAAGGGUUAGCUAACAUGCUAAGUAGUUGCAAAGUAUCUAAAAAGUAGUAAGUAGUUGCUAAUUAGCUAAAAUGCUAAAUUUGUCCAUGAUGAGAUUCGCACACGCAACGUUUGCGUUAAGUAUCCACCCCAACCAGACCCUACUUUUGUUUUUGCCCCGAUUCUGUCUGAUGUAAUCAUACCAAAUGUAACAUAUGAUACUAAUUUUGGAUGUGCCAGAUUUCAGUUUACUAUGUUACGUAUAUAUUCUAUGAGACCCCAAGGGCUGACCCCUUGGACUCAGCUUGUCAGAGUGAUUAAAGCAGCCAGCCGAUCUGCCACUCCGAGGCAAACAUUCACAGAACAGAGCAGACAUAUGGCCAGCCGGACUAUGAUGAUUUGUUUUUAUUUCGUGCGCGGGCUGCAAUCAUUCUGUCGGGACUCUGCCACUCUGCCUGAUUUGUACAGUGCGGGGACAAACAACCUUUGCCUGGAGACAGGAAGAAAUCAGGCAGAAAUAUGGAGCACUUGCUGUAAUAUAUCAGUGUUUUAGUAAGAAUGGAGUGGGGUUGAGGGCUGAGGGAUGGGAUGUACCACCUGUAUGGGGAGGGGUGGUAAUUACAGUGCUGAGCUGUCUGGGGAGGAGUGGAUCAAUCCAAUAUGUGAAAAAUAUUAGUGGUAGUGUCCAUGAAUCAGGUUUUGCCAUAUUCCUCUUUUUUUGUCUUUCCUUUGAACCUUCUCAAAGCUAUAAAGGAUAUUAUGCACAGAAAAAAUAUCUUUAUUUUGAUUUAAUUGUAAUCUUAUUUUAGUGUAGAGGCACAGUACAAUACUGAUAGUGAUAACAAUAACAAUCUCAAAGUUCGCCAGACACAACUUUCCAAAACGUAAUAUGUAGAUGGAAUGCUAUCAGAGAGAUAGAUGGCUGUGUGAUUUGGGUUUUCAACCAAUCAAUCAAUCCAUCAAUCAAUCAAAUGUAUUUUAUAAAGCUCCUUUUCACAUCAGCAAUUGUCGCAAAGUGCUGUACAGAAACCCAGCAUUUCAUGUAUGUAAUGAGCUGUUUCUGACACUUCUGCUUGACCGGGCGAACAGCUCAGACACACAUGAAAACAAAUCAAAUCACAUUUUAUUUGUCACAUACACAUGGUUAGCAGAUGUUAAUGCGAGUGUAGCGAAAUGCUUGUGCUUCUAGUUCCGACAAUGCAGUAAUAACCAACAAGUAAUCUAACUAACAAUUCCAAAACUACUGUCUUAUGCACAGUGUAAGGGGAUAAGAAUAUGUACAUAGAGAUAUAUGAAUGAGUGAUGGUACAGAGCAGCAUAGGCAAGAUACAGUAGAUGGUAUCGAGUACAGUAUAUACAUAUAUAUGGUAUCGAGUACAGUAUAUACAUAUGAGAUGAGUAUGUAAACAAAGUGGCAUAGUUAAAGUGGCUAGUGAUACAUGUAAUUACAUAAGGAUGCAGUAGAUGAUAUAGAGUACAGUAUAUACGUAUACAUAUGAGAUGAAUAAUGUAGGGUAUGUAAACAUUAUAUUAGGUAGCAUUGUUUAAAGUGGCUAGUGAUAUAUUUUACAUAAUUUCCCAUCAAUUCCCAUGAUUAAAGUGGCUGGAGUUGAGUCAGUGUGUUGGCAGCAGCCACUCAAUGUUAGUGGUGGCUGUUUAACAGUCUGAUGGCCUUGAGGUAGAAGCUGUUUUUCAGUCUCUCGGUCCCAGCUUUGAUGCACCUGUACUGACCUCGCCUUCUGGAUGAUAGCGGGGUGAACAGGCAGUGGCUCGGGUGGUUGUUGUCCUUGAUGAUCUUUAUGGCCUUCCUGUAACAUCGGGUGGUGUAGGUGUCCU
ensembl:lncRNA